UCUAACAUGUAGACAUUGUGACAAAGCAUUUGCCAACGAGAGGCUGCUGAGAGACCAUGUUCGUCAGCAUGUGAAUCAUAUAAAAUGUCCUCUCUGUGACAUGACAUGCACGUCCCUUUCCACCUUGAAGAUCCAUAUCAAAUUCCGUCACUGCGAUGAGAGGCCCUUCCCGUGUGACUUCUGUGAGAGCAGCUUCAAGAACCAGCAUGAUCUGCGGAGACACAUGGAAACUCACAAUGAGGGAGCAGCAUACCACUGCACAGUAG